rnacentral:rRNA from 1 species
GCGUAAUACCGGAUAAUAUAUUGAACCGCAUGGUUCAAUAGUGAAAGACGGUUUUGCUGUCACUUAUAGAUGGAUCCGCGCCGCAUUAGCUAGUUGGUAAGGUAACGGCUUACCAAGGCAACGAUGCGUAGCCGACCUGAGGAGGGUGAUCGGCCACACUGGAACUGAGACACGGUCCAG